CUUUACACUGUUUUACUGUUAACAAUCAGUUCUCUGUUUACCUCUGGUUCUAAUGGGGUUAUCAGAACAUACAGAGCAUGAAAACAAAGGUCAAGGUCUCUUAGAUUACUUGCAGGCAGAGAUUUUGCCAGUGCUCUGAUCAAAAUGGGUGUGAGGAAGAGGCUGUAUUAACACACUUUCCUAUGCUAAUAGACCUCUGUGAUGGGUUUAAAUAUGAGGAUAUCACUAAGGUGGUAAACAUGCACAACUUUCAGGAUGAAGGAAGGUGUCAAGCUUGGACUUUUUUUCCUGGGCUGUUGCAAGGGAAUGUUUUCUACAGAGUCCAAAUGCAGAGAUUUUUUGAUCACUGGAGACUGAACCCUAACUCCCUGCACGGGAUGCAGACCAUCUCCAUCUUCAUCAGAAACUGCCAAUGUGACUGAAGAAAUUUAAGGAACUGAGGAACUUUGUGUCACAACCAGCUCUUGAAGACUCCUCAGGGAGUGCUAUAAAAAUGAGUUUUUUCCUAGUCCCAGAGACUCAGAUACCACACCAUCCCCUCCAGAUUUCGUAUUGCCUACCUCAUGACUUUACCUUUUGAUGAUUUUAUGUGCAGUUUUGUGGGUCUGAAUUUUGUUCUCUCCAAGCUACAUAGCUUUUCCCAGUAGAGAAGGAACAUUGAAGAGCACUUGGUAUCUCAAGUUUCUCUGCCACGGGGGAACUAGGAUUUGGUAGUGCAGGUGAUAGCACCAUGGCAAAGAGAGGAAGAAACAUCUCUUGUUUAAGUUCCUUUUGUUGGCUUUGCUGACUUGGUAGAUCAGUUUAGCUUGAAAGAUGCUCUUGGCAAAUGUAUUUAAGUAAUUUGGAAGUAAUCUGAAGUAAUUUUGGUUUUCCUUUCUCAGCGGACUUGUUAUGUGUUUUAGUAGUGAUGCCUAGGUAAUUAUUUGGCAUUUUGGAAAUGGUUGUAUGUGAAAACUUUAAAAUUUUCAUGUUUAAAAAUGUUGAUGGAGAAAUGCCAUGAAGUUUAUUACAUGUGCAGGUAUAUGUAGAUAUAUAUACAAUUUAGGGAGUUGGAGACUGAUAUGAUGGGGGUGCUUAAGAUGCUGAAAAACAGAACAGUUCUGAGGUUUAGAAAAAGACAUUACCAAAUUCUUUCAUUAAAACCUUCACAAGUUAUUAGUUAUCAUCCCUGCAUCUACAUAGCUGUUAGUAUUUAAUAUUUUUUUUUAAUACAUGACCAUCCUUCUAAUGUAUUUGGAAUUAUAUUCUGCCUAUUUGCAGUCUCUUGUUCUUAUUUUGUUUUUUAAUUUGUUUUUACCUGUAUCCCUUCUACAUUAAACCAAUCACGUCUUUGCCCAUUUUGUGUCACAAUGCUCACAUACUGAUGUAAAAUGCAUAUGCAGAGCGUUUGUCUGCCUAUGGUAUUGAAGUUUUACUGCCACU
rnacentral:lncRNA from 1 species